AUGUCACAGGAACCCUGGCUGGAAUGCAGAGGAUUGAAUUCCCAGCCCUUCCCAGUGGGCCGGGCCCGCCCAGGGCAGCGGAGCCAGCGCCCCGCGCCUCCGGGGCUCUCGGGCGCCCCCUGCCGCAUGUUCUUGUCCUUCCGCCCCCGCGUCCUAAGGCCCUGUGGGUGUGAGACCACCCCAGUGUGCGGAGGUGGACCCGAUCCUUCUCCCGAAGGCCUCAUUCCAGCUGGGACAGUCGUAAUCCCUCUGGGCCUCGGUUUCCUCACUCGCAAAACCACGGACGCCAGGAGCAGUCGGAGAGGGAGUGAGCGCUUAGCCAGAGCUGGUGGUCCGAGGCUUAGAGUUCCAGGCUCCCCGAAGGGUGAUAGGGGCGAGGUGUCAUGAACAGUAUGCAAGGUACACUUGUAAAAUCAGAAGCAAGCCAUCUCUGGAACCUGGAGGGAUCUGGAAGCCUUUGUGAAGGAAAGAAGAAUGAGGGAUGGGAGACGGGAAGGAUGCAGGUGGGUGUUCUGGGGCUGGGGAGUAGCCCAAUCUCAAAAUAAGAAGAGGCAACAAAAUGGCAACAGUGAGAGAAACUACUGGAAGGAAUAUUCUCCAGAAGGAAAGAUAGCUUCCCAGUGCCUAGCCCUCCAGAGGGGCAAGCAGGAUAACAGGGAACAGGACCCUGGUGGUUUUAAGAGAAACAAUUUUGUCUCUCGGCAGUGGAGAAGACAGAUUGUGGCUGGAAGCCAGGGGUGGGGGUGAAGUGGGGAAAAGCACAGGGGCUGU
rnacentral:lncRNA from 1 species